GAGCCCAUGUUUUCAACUCUUUGCUAAGCGGCCAGAUUCUCAGAUGACCCUAACUCCAUGCCUCUCUGUCACCUACUCCCACAGUCCUAUCUUAGUGGUUUUUUUCCCAGAACUGCCACCAAGCAAGAGGUUACUGAGUCCUCUAAGGAAAACCACACAGGAGUACCAGUUGAUGUGAUGGCACAUGGAGAGGCAACCUCUCAAGUGCCCAGAAGUUCUACUGCAUGCCUCUUCCCAGCCCAAACAGUGGCCCUUCUAAAACGUCCUGCCUCAGACCCACCAUCUGUUCACUCACUUCUGAAUACACAACACCAAGAGUGAAUCCUAAUGCAAACCACGGACUUUAAAUGACAACGAUGUGUCAAGGGAAAAAUAUUACUUCUAAUGGACUACUGUCAGCACAAGUUGAAGCCAAGUUAACCUCCUUGUUAUGCCAAGCACAGUGGAAUAGUCUCUUGCUCUAUUUCUUUACUCCUCCCAUUCCUUCCACAAAGAAUGUCUUUUCCCCUUCUCUGUGUCUACUGGGACAAAGAAUUUGACACACACACACACACACGCAAAAAAAAAUCCUUUAUUGUGAACUCAGUCCACUCUACUACUAUUAACCCAAGCACCCCCAUAACUGUUUUUAUACUUUUCACUCCUCCUCUUUUAUAUGAAUAUGGUCUACUGAUUGAUAACCUGAAGUGAAAAGAUCACAAUUUAGCAUAUUUUAAUAUCAAAGUACUGUUCAAAAUAAGAAAUAAAUGCUGCUGAAUAAACUAGAAACUCCUUGAGGUCAGGGACUAUGUUAUUCAUCAUUUCUAAAGACUAGCAAAUUGCCUAGCACAUUUCAGAUAUGUCCCCAGUAAUCAUUAAACAAAAUAGGAGUCUCAAAAAGACUCAGUUAAAGUCACAAUGACAACCUGAACACAGUAAUCUCUUACUUCAAAAGAUGAGAUCAGAAAUCACAAGUCAGAGCUCAGGGGAAAAAAAAAAGGUCUGAACUCUGCCAACAUUAAUUCCGUUUUAAGAAUGGUUGCAGAACAAAACCAGUGAACAUUUUUAAAGGUUUUGUAAAAUAGGUGUCAUGGUGUAUUUUCAGCACUAAUUGUCAAAAUGCUUAAGCAUCUAUGAUGCCUGACAUCUUCACCUACCUAGCAGACUACAUAGCAACUUAUGUAAGCCACAACUCAAAACAGAAAGGUACGAGUGCAGUUUAUAUCAAACACAGGCAGAGAGGCAGUUAGGGUAUGUGCUAUGGUGAGCGCUGUGAAUUGUGUCAGAUUGUUGAAUCACAGAUCUGUACCUCUGAAACAAAUAAUACAUUAUAUGUUAAAAAAAAAAAAAGAAGAAGAUAGCAGGAAGGGAAGA